GGUCACAGCCGCAAAAAAUGAUCUGCUGAGUCACAGACAUCUCUUACCCAAUGUUGUCAAUGGGAAAAGUAUUUUUGGGCCCAAUGGCAUCACGUGACGGACACGGUAGUUGCAGUACUGCUGUUUGGCCACUAUAAAAAUUGGCAUCAACGACCGGCGCACUUCCCGGG